AUUGAACGCUGGCGGCAGGCCUAACACAUGCAAGUCGAGCGGAUGAGUGGAGCUUGCUCCAUGAUUCAGCGGCGGACGGGUGAGUAAUGCCUAGGAAUCUGCCUGGUAGUGGGGGACAACGUUUCGAAAGGAACGCUAAUACCGCAUACGUCCUACGGGAGAAAGUGGGGGAUCUUCGGACCUCACGCUAUCAGAUGAGCCUAGGUCGGAUUAGCUAGUUGGUGAGGUAAAGGCUCACCAAGGCGACGAUCCGUAACUGGUCUGAGAGGAUGAUCAGUCACACUGGAACUGAGACACGGUCCAGACUCCUACGGGAGGCAGCAGUGGGGAAUAUUGGACAAUGGGCGAAAGCCUGAUCCAGCCAUGCCGCGUGUGUGAAGAAGGUCUUCGGACUGUAAAGCACUUUAAGUUGGGAGGAAGGGCAGUAAGCUAAUACCUUGCUGUUUUGACGUUACCGACAGAAUAAGCACCGGCUAACUCUGUGCCAGCAGCCGCCGUAACAC
rnacentral:rRNA from 1 species